ACCCUCAAAAUCGUGCUCUGAUCGAAAAUUGGUUGAUGUUGAGUUUAUUCUCUUUAUGGAGGGUAAUGUAGUGAUGGAGCAAAGUUUUGGUGCCCCUAAAGUAACCGAAGAUGGAGUAAAUACUGCAGAGAGCAUUGAAUUCAAGGAUAAAGUUAAGAAGAGGGAGCACUUUAAUUGUUUUGCAGGAACCACAUGUGCUAUAGUCCUUACGCGAGCAAUAUUUACUGAAGGCUGCAAAUCAGUUGUGGCUGGAAUGAAUUCACUGGACCUGAGGUGUGGUCUGAGUAUGGCUGUAGGUGAUGCGGUGGCAAACUUGAAAAGCAAAGCAAGGAUGAUUAGCACCUCUGAAGAAAUAGCACAGAUUGAUAGGUUGGGACAUAUCUGCUAAUGGAGAGAGAGAAAUUGGUGAGUUGAUUGCAAAAGCUAUGGAGAAAGUUGGCAAAGAGGGAGUAAUCACAAUUUCAGUUAGUUUUUAUCUGAUUAUCCUAUUGAUCAGUGUUUACUGCCUGUUUUACUUGUGGAGGAAAGUGUAGUUCCAGAUUCCAUCUUGGUUAUGGUCAUCCAGGAUGGAGUCAUUUCUUUUUCUGCCAUUUAUUUUGCUAAUCCUUAUUGAAGUAUAGGUGAUGCACUUGAAUAUCUGAAAAAAGAAUUAAAGUAUCUGGUGAUCUGCAGGAGUAAGAUAACAGAGAGAAGCAGGGUGAAAAGAAGAUGAUAAUGCUGAUGAGUAUGGCUAUAUUUCUGAAUUUGAAAAAGGGGACAACUCAAGCUUUGGGAUCUGCAAUAUUGGAGCAGGUUGAUAGAAACAUUGAUGGUGGUGAGUUUGAUAAAGAGUGCAUUGCCGGAGAAUAUGCAGAGUUGCAGUUUGAGAAGGAAAAAUCAGAAAUGAAUUCGGUUUCAUCUGAUCCAAAGAUAGAAGAAGAAAUACUGGAAGCAGAAGAAAAACUGCAGUUUCCCGACAACGAGCCAAUUGUGGUGGGUUGUGCAAGAUGAGGUGCAGUGCACAUUCGAGGCCCAACUAAUUAUUUAAACCAAUCCUUGGAUAAGGAGUGGCGCAUUAUGGUGAACUUGCUCCUGAGUGUGUGCACACAUACUACAAAUAUGGGUGUGCUCUUUUGUACAAGGCUCAGGAGGAAGCUGAUCCAUUGGCAGAUGUGUCCAAGAAGGAGGAUGGAUCUCAACAUGGCUCCAACAAAGAUGGUUCUAAAUUGCCAUGAAUAUGCCAUCUAGAUCUUAGCACCAUUGAGAUAUGCCACUGUCUAUGGAUGCUCAGAAGCAACAAUAGUUCUAGGAGUGCCCAAGAAGACAUGGACGACGAAGAAUCCAAAAGCAAUCCCAUUUGUGUGUUUGCAUAUGAGAAGGGAGGGCUAUCAAACUAAGGUGUGCAUAAAGGUUAUUGGUGAGAAGAGUGCGAAGAUGGUGACCGACGAAGGUGCAAUAUAUGUUAUUGCAAACAGAGGUUACAACUGGAGGGCUAUUGUCCAGGAAACUGUGUCAGCUACUCUUAACAGUAUGAAGGUGCUGCCAGGGAAGGUGGGAAAGGACCCAGUAUAUGGGAUACUUUCGCUCAUAAAUACCCAGUAUGAAGGUGCUGCAAGGGAAGGUGGAAAAGGACCAAGUAUAUGAGAUACUUUCACUCAUAAAUACCCAGGAACCAAAUCAACCAAUGGUGUUCAAGCAAAAGAAAAUGUCAGUUGAGCAGAUUAUAUGCAGCAGGUACACCACCUCAUUUUAUCGCUUCUGAAGGCAAUAAAAGUGUUACAAGGAGGAAUGAAAGAUGGAAGAAGCCAUUACCAAAGCCAAAUUAAAAGCAAACUUUGGCAUUGGAAUCAUUAUUAGGACCAUGAGGGUGAAAUUUUUGCAAUUGCAACAAAGUUUAUGCCAAAUACUUAUAGUAUCAAAGUGGCAGAAUCUUUGGCCUUAAGAUGGUGUAUUGAAGUCAUGUAAUAAGGCACCAACGCUGCAUUACACAUAUUUUGAUGGCAUUAUCAAAGAUUGCAUUCAAUUGAUGCAAUCUUUUUCAUCACCUAGUGUUCAGUGGUAUUAACAUCAAUGGAUGGGAAAUGAUGAUAGCGCUUGGUUUCAUGGCUGCAACAAGUGUUAGAGUGGCAAAUGAACUUGGAAGAGGAAACUCACAAGCUGCAAAGUUCUCUAUAGUUGUGACAAUGCUUACAUCAUUUGAAAUUGGAUUUAUCUUAUUUGUUCUUUUUUUAUUUUUAAGAGAAAAAAGUAGUUUAUCUCUAUACUUCAGACAAAGAUGUGGGUGCUGCUGUGGGGGAUUUGUUUUGUAGUUUUUGUUUGCUGCCCCUCUAGUAGAUAUUGAUGCUAUUCGUGAGCCUGUUUCUCGAUCUCUAUUUUAUGGAAAUAAUGUCAUUUCUGGUGCCA